GCAAUACUCCCUCCGUCCCAUAUUAAGUGACUUUCUAUUACAUGUAUCUAGACGCUUUUUAGACAUAGAUACAUCCGUAUUUGGCAAAUUUGAGUCACUUAAUAUGGGACGGAGGGAGUAGAUU
rfam:Brachypodium distachyon strain Bd21 chromosome 5, whole genome shotgun sequence.